UACGAAGGGGGCUAGCGUUGCUCGGAAUCACUGGGCGUAAAGCGCACGUAGGCGGAUUGUUAAGUCGGGGGUGAAAUCCUGGAGCUCAACUCCAGAACUGCCUUUGAUACUGAGGAUCUCGAGUCCGGGAGAGGUGAGUGGAACUCCGAGUGUAGAGGUGAAAUUCGUAGAUAUUCGGAAGAACACCAGUGGCGAAGGCGGCUCACUGGCCCGGUACUGACGCUGAGGUGCGAAAGCGUGGGGAGCAAACAGG
rnacentral:rRNA from 1 species